rnacentral:rRNA from 1 species
UACAGAGGGUGCGAGCGUUAAUCGGAAUUACUGGGCGUAAAGCGUGCGUAGACGGUAGCGUAAGUCAGAUGUGAAAGCCCCGGGCUCAACCUGGGAACUGCAUUUGAGACUGCUCUGCUCGGGUGCGGAAGAGGGAAGCGGAAUUUCCGGUGUAGCGGUGAAAUGCGUAGAUAUCGGAAGGAGCACCAGUGGCGAAAGCGGCUUCCUGGUCCGACACCGACGUUCAGGCACGAAAGCGUGGGGAGCAAACAGG